UCCGAUAUGGUGUAGUGGCUAACAUUAUCGCCUCUCAUACUGUUAGCUCUUCUAGACCGCGAUAGCCCGGGGUUCGAUUCCCCGUGUCGGAA